ACGGAAGGCAGCAGUGGGGAGUAUUGGGCAAUGGGCGAAAGCCUGACCCAGCAACGCCGCGUGAAGGAAGAAGGUUUUCGGAUUGUAAACUUCUUUUAUCAGGGACGAAGAAAGUGACGGUACCUGAUGAAUAAGCCACGGCUAACUACGUGCCAGCAGCCGCGGUAAUACGUAGGUGGCAAGCGUUAUCCGGAUUUACUGGGUGUAAAGGGCGCGUAGGCGGGGAUGCAAGUCAGGUGUGAAAUCUAUGGGCUUAACCCAUAAACUGCAUUUGAAACUGUAUCUCUUGAGUGUCGGAGAGGUAGACGGAAUUCCUAGUGUAGCGGUGAAAUGCGUAGAUAUUAGGAGGAACACCAGUGGCGAAGGCGGUCUACUGGACGAUAACUGACGCUGAGGCGCGAAAGCGUGGGGAGCAAGCAGGAUUAGAUACCCUGGUA
rnacentral:rRNA from 1 species